rnacentral:rRNA from 1 species
UACGUAGGCGGCGAGCGUUGUUCGGAGUUACUGGGCGUAAAGGGUGUGUAGGCGGUUGUUUAAGUUUGGUGUGAAAUCUCCCGGCUCAACUGGGAGGGUGCGCCGAAUACUGAAUGACUAGAGUGUGGGAGAGGUGAGUGGAAUUCCUGGUGUAGCGGUGAAAUGCGUAGAGAUCAUGAGGAAGACCAGUGGCGAAGGCGGGUCUCUGGACAGUUCCUGACACUGAGGCACGAAGGCCAGGGGAGCAAACGGG